GUGCCAGCCGCCGCGGUAAUACCGGCAGCUCAAGUGAUGUCCCAUAUUAUUGGGCCUAAAGCGUCCGUAGCUGGCCGACCAAGUCUCCCGGGAAAUCCACCCGCCCAACGGGUGGGCGUCCGGUAGAAACUGGCCGGCUUGGAACCGGAAGGCUCAGAGAGUACGUCCGGGGUAGGAGUGAAAUCCCGUAAUCCCGGACGGACUACCGAUGGCGAAAGCGCCUCGAGAGGACGGACCCGACAGUGAGGGACGAAAGCCAGGGUCUCGAACCGGAUUAGAAACCCGUGAGCC
rnacentral:rRNA from 1 species